AAUGCUUAUCUUAUAACAAUAACAUCAUUAUUGUCAUAAUUAUUAAGAGAAUAAAAAAUUUGGUCAACUUCGACGCAUCAAUGGCCAGAGCUACUGUUACAUGUGAGGUGCUCUACGUUGGAUUGCAAACCACUAACAAAUAGUUUUAAACUUUUUUUUGUCACAAAUAUUAAACUAAACUUAUUCCAGUUGAAUGAGCACGUUUGAUGGUCAGAUAGUGAAGUAUGUGGAUCUAUAAAAUAAUAAUGAAAGAGUAACAAUAUGGUGGUCUAGUUAUGGUGGUAUAGCUAGUAAAAUCUCAAAAAGCGAUGCUAUGAAUUACACGGUACAAAACAUGUUUUUGACUUAGAUAUAAUCAAAAAUUUAAGAAAUGAAAUUUUGUUUUUUUCUUUGUUUCGAGCGAUAAUUAGUUAUAGUUAAGGUUUUUUUAAGAGCUGGUUAUAGUUAAGGUUGUUAAACAAAGUAACUAGUGAUAUUGAUAACAAACCUAGCUGUAUAUCCGAAUCUCCUUUAGUCAGGAACCAGUUUUUAAUGAUAUUUGUAAAGCGUAAAUCAUAUUUAUAUUUCUCAGUAUAAAAAUUCCAACCUAAGUGUAAGGAAGGACUGAACAUAUCAUUAGAGCAGCAUUAUUGGAGUUUGGUUUUUUUUUUAACUAAUUAGAGCAUUUAAUUAAAUCAAAACCAAAAUAAAAUUGUGACCGAUCUUUAAGGAAAGGAAGAGCACACGUGUCAGCAAGAGAAUAAAUCUCAGAUUAUAUUUUUUUUCUUUUUAUUUUUCUUUCUCUUUUCUUCUUCUCUCAUGUUUUCUCCGUCGAAAUCGACGAUGGCGUUUGUGGAGGAUCGGAAUUGUCUCCGUCUGGAGACUUGUUUGUCGAAUUGGUUUCCGUUUUUGGAGGAUCUGAGCCAGCGUUUGUCGAUACUUGGAAGAUCAGAGUCAUCCACUAUCUCUUCCUUAGCGUUCGUCUUCUUCCUCCUCAGUCACUUGUUAACAUCACGUCUUCUUGGCACAUGUCUUGGUGGGUAGAUCAACAGAAGAUCUCUCGGUGGACAUUGACUUGGGUAGAGAAAAGCGUGGCAUCAAAAUAUCUCGACGCCAUGUUGGUUAAAUAAAGUAGAUGCUUCUGUUUUAUGUUUGGCCAGAUUGUAUGAUAAGGGACAAAACACUGAAACUUAACAACCAUGUGUUUUUGUGUGUGUGUGUGGGACAUGUGAUCAUCCGGUUGGGUGAUGACGGAUUGUUUCAUAUGAAAACCUGGGGAAGUGUUUAAUCCUCAAAUCUGAUUGUCUGCUUGGGAUACGGGGAAUGCCUUUCAUAUUCGAGACAAACCAAAGUCGCAUGAAAGAGUACUUGAAGAGAACAUGGAAAGGGAAUUGAGACCAGAAACGAGAGCGAGUGUUCUUUGUGUAUUGGCUUGUGAAGAAGUUGAAUGAUAGUCUCUCUCUUGUAGUCUUGUGUAAUGUUACCUUAACCUCACAGGAGCAUGUUUUGUAGAUCUUUUAUUACAUGUUUAGUUCUGCAACAUGCAUAGUUGACCCAGUUUUUUUUUUUCUUACUCGUUAGCCAUAAGAUGAAAAUACAACUCUGAUUGCAACUGA